rnacentral:misc_RNA from 1 species
AAGUCGUAACAAGGUUUCCGUAGGUGAACCUGCGGAAGGAUCAUUACAGAAUUUAUCCUCACUCGCUAGAGUGAGCGAUGAUGACCAACCAUGUGAUGCGUGUUGUAUACGUGUGAAUGAUUGUGUGUGCGUUUGCGCGCACGCACAGCCAUUUAUUUUUUUACCCAUUUCUCUAUUUAUCUCUUAUUUCAUGCAGUAAUUGCACACAAAAAGUGUAAAACUGCCAGCAAUGGAUCACUUGGUUCUC